AGCCCAACUAUAAGAGAACAUCAAAGGCAUCAAGCUUUCUCAUCCAAGAUUUGGUAACUAGCGUUGGCUAUACACAUACUCCAUCAUGGACUCAUGUUUGUAUCUUCGCAUUUACCUGAUCUUGUGUUGCUUUAAUCUUAUCAUAUUAACUUACUCUUCCUCUUCUACGCAGCCAUUAUGCCACGAAAAUGAGAGCAAGGCCUUGCUGCAGUUCAAGCAUAAUUUUUUCAUUGACAAGUUUGCUUCUGUUGGCCCUUCUGCUUAUCCAAAACUUGAAUCAUGGAAGCUACUUGGUGGAAAGAGCGAUGGUUGCUGCUCAUGGGAUGGUGUCGAGUGUGACCAAGACACUAGUCAUGUGAUCGGCCUCGACCUCAGCAGUAGCUUUCUCCAUGGUUCUAUCAAUUCCAAUAGCAGCCUAUUUACCCUUGUCCACCUUCGUACCCUAAACCUUGCUGAUAAUAAGUUCAAUUUCUCUGAAAUACCGUCCAGAAUUGGAAAUCUUUCGAGGCUGACUAGUCUCAAUCUAUCCAAAUCUGGAUUUUUCGGUCAAAUUCCUUCAGAAAUCUCAUCUCUUUCCAAAUUAGUUAUCCUCGAUCUGACUUCGGAAAUUGAUUUGUAUUCUGAAAGUCUUUUGAAACUUGAAAAACCCAGUCUAAGAGACCUAGUUCAAAACCUAACCAACCUGAAAGUACUUAACCUUUCUAUGGUGAACAUAUCUUCUUCAGUGCCAAGUGUUUUGUCAAAUAUAUCCUCUCUAACAACUCUUAAUCUUGAAGGAUGUUCGUUGUAUGGUGAAUUUCCAAUGGACAUUUUUCGUCUACCACAACUACAGAUUCUUAAUGUAGCUUGGAACGAAAAUCUCACCGGCUCUCUACCUGAAUUUCAAAGCAAUAGUCGCCUUAAGGCAAUGAUAUUCCACUGCACGGGCUUGUACGGUAAGCUACCAGAUUCAAUUGGUAGACUUGAAUCCUUAGUUUAUUUGGAUUUGAUUAAAACUAGUUUAUCUGGGACACUUCCAUCUCCACUUGGCAAUCUAACCCGGCUCAGUUUCCUCUACCUUUACGAUUGCAAGUUUAGUGGCCAGGUUCCUUCGUCGUUGGCAAACCUAUCAGAACUAACUAAGUUUGGAAUUGGCCAUAACGACUUUGACGCAGGACCACUUCCUUUACCGCCAGGGAAGCUACUCAAACUCAAUCACUUGUAUGCGUCCAAAAUGAACUUACAAGGUGAGAUCCCCCAGUCGCUAGCAAACCGGACCAAACUUUCCCUUUUAGCGAUUGACAUAAACAACCUGGUCGGUAAAAUCCCAUCCUGGUUCAUGAACCUCACGCAAUUAACAUACGUAGAUCUUGCACGAAAUCACUUCCAUGGCACGAUUCCAAGCUCAAUCACUCAACUCAAGCGUCUUGAUUAUUUGAGUAUUGGUUCUAAUAGCUUCACUGGUAUUGUCGAGCUAGACAUGUUUAUGAAACUCCCAAACCUGGUCUCGUUGCAAUUAGGGAGAAACAAUCUAACAGUGCUCGACAAAAAUAGUACCAAUGGUACUCUUCCAAAGCUUGAUAGUCUAGACUUGGAGUCAUGCAACUUAGUCGAGUUCCCUAGCAUUCUAAGAUUUCAAGAUGAAUUGCAGGUGUUAAGUAUAAAGAAUAACAUAAUUCGAGGCGAAAUACCAAUAUGGAUGUGGAACUCGAGUAAAGAAACAAUGGAAUAUGUCGACUUUGGCCAGAACUUUCUGACAAGUUUCGAGCAACAGCCAGCUGUCAUCCCAUGGCAUUUUCUAAUAGUUUUCAACCUCGGCUCUAACAAGCUUCAAGGAUCGCUUCCCAUUCCACCACCAAGCACUGUUAUUUAUAAUGUCCGCGAGAACGCAUUGACAGGAGCAAUUCCACCGUCAAUGUGCCACAACAAUUCUCUUCGUAUGGUUGAUUUGUCCAACAACAAUUUAAAUGGCACAAUACCUCCAUGUUUGGCCAGUUCCAGUGAGGAUCUUCUCACGUUGAAUUUGAGUGGCAAUAGUUUCCAAGGAAGUAUUCCUUCAACAUUCACAAUGAAUUGCCAACUGUUGAUGAUAGAUUUAGGUCGAAAUCAGUUACAGGGGCCGGUGCCAAGAUCAUUGGCAAAUUGCACAAUGCUGGAAUGUCUUGUUCUUCAAAAUAAUCAGAUUGAGGAUACUUUCCCCUCUUGGUUGGAAGCUCUUCCUAAGUUAGAGCUUCUUUUUUUGGGAUCAAACAAAUUCCACGGCGACAUUGGGGAUCCCAAAAACAAUUCAAUGUUUCCAAAGUUGCGGAUAAUUGACCUCUCUUGCAAUGGCUUUUCAGGUAAUUUGCCAAAAGAAUACAUUCGCAACUGGAAUGGAAUGAAAAUGAUCAACAAAGAGAAUUUGACAUAUAUGCGUUCAAAUCCUGAAUUUGAAAUCGAGUUACGUGCCGGUCCAACAACUCAUUUGACAGUAUCCUAUUCAGAUGUGUGGAGCUCCUAUUACUCAAUGAGAGUGGUCAGCAAAGGGACACACAGGUUAUACGAGAGGAUUCAAAGUGCCUUGGUGGUGGUUGAUCUCUCAAACAACACAUUCAUUGGGGAUAUCCCAGAAUCCUUUGGAAGUCUCCGUGGGCUUCAAUUGCUAAACAUUUCCAACAACAAACUUACUAGUGCUAUCCCCACAUCGUUGGCAAACUUGACAGCAUUGGAGUCGUUGGACCUAUCUCAAAACCUGCUCUCAGGUCACAUCCCCUGGCAACUGACCCAACUCACUUUCCUUUCCUUCUUAAAUGUUUCUCAUAAUCGACUCACUGGCCCUAUUCCUCAAGGGAAACAAUUUGGUACAUUCGAAAAUAGUUCAUAUGAUGGGAAUUUGGGAUUGUGUGGUGUCCCAUUGUCGAAGUCAUGCAGAAAUUCAAUGACCUCACCACCACCUCCGCCUAUAUUUCGAGGUCAUGAUCUUGAGUUUUCGAGUGGUAUUUAUUGGAUGGUCAUUGCCUUGGGAUAUGGAAGUGGGCUAGUAGUUGGGUUGGCUAUUGGGAGAACUCUGACGAGGAGGUAUCACGAAUGGUUUGUCGACACCUUUGGGAGGGGGAAGAAAUUUCAGAAGAAGCAGAAAAGCAAGGGCCGAAGAACCUAAUUGUUGGCAAUGAAAUUGUGGGUUCUUUCUUCAGUACUACUUUUGAGCUUGUGCCCCCAUCUUGGCUAGAGUUAUGUUAAUAAAAGGGUCAGGUGUUAAGAAUAUGCAGGUUUUAGUACUGGAAUACUAGCAGUGUUGUCAGGUUUCUAGAGUGCAUAAGAGAGAUCUUCCCAGAGCUUUUGUUCUUGCUUGUUUUUAUAUAUGGACUGUUGUACUUGUCUGCUUUUCCUAUUUCCCCCAAACUGAAUCAAAUAACAUCAGGAACCAAGCCCGGCCACUAACCCCCAUAGUUUCAACAGAUGCUUUAACACCUCAGAUUUGUUGUUGGACCUCUGGGUUGUUAUAUCACCAUCUGCUAAGGCCUUGCAGCUGUUGCUAUCUUCUCACAAAACUCAAAUAAUACAAAAAUCAGAUUUCCUUCCCAUUAAUAUCGACCCAUUGAAAGUAAUAAGAACCGUGUUGGUCGAUGAGGCAAGGUUAACAGAACGAACUCCUAUUUGCCAUUUGGGUUUUGAUUCGAGUGUGUGCUUGUCUGGUUGUACACAUGAAUCUCGUUACGUUGUUUGUUGU